CAUCAAAGUGACUGCAGCUCAGUACCUGGCCUUCGAGAAAGACAUAGAUGUUUAUUUUCCCUUCCCAGGGACGAAUACCUGAAGCAAUAGUCUCUUGAAAUAGUGCUGGUAGUUUGUUAUUCAUCGAAGCUCUUGUACUUCUGAGAACAUGGGGAAAACAUUGUGGCACUAAUUGAAUGAAUGCCUGCAGCAGGGCUGCUCAGCUGAUGGGCCCCAGCCUGGAUCUCCACCCAGCUUCAGGAGCAAGCCAGCAAAUGGAUGUGGUGUGAGUGGGGAGUGGUAACAGUAAGUGCCCAGCCAGAGUGCAGGGAUCGGCGGGCUGCCAACGUCUGCCUCGUCGUUGUAAACACACAAAGCCCCAAAAAGAAACUGAGCAAAUAUUUCCUAAGGUGUUUGUUUUUCUGUCUCUGGACAUGAAUCAACAGAAGAGCAUACACGAGAGCACACAGAUGGUUCCCUCUAGAUGAUACAUCUCGCAACAUAGGAGUGUUGAUUUGAUUUUUUAAGAUCAGGUGGUUUAUGAAUGUCACCAGAGUAAAAGUCUAACCCCUGCCAUAGGUCUCCUUUUCACACUGCAUUAGAGACUGGACGAUGGCUGUGUUGCCCUCACCAGCUGACUGCCUUUUUUUUGUAUUGACACAAAGGAG